GCGGUCGGCUGAGUAAUAUAGAGGAAUCUGCCUGGUGGUGGGGGACAACGUAUGGAAACGUACGCUAAUACCGCAUAAGAUUGAAGAAUGAAAGCGGGGGCUCGAAAGACCUCGCGCCGUAAGAUGAGCCUAUAUCGGAUUAGCUAGUUGGUGGGGUAAGAGCCUACCAAGGCGACGAUCCGUAGCUGGUUUGAGAGAAUGAUCAGCCACAUCGGGACUGAGACACGGCCCCAACUCCUACGGGAGGCCGCAUUGGGGAAUAUUGGACAAUGGGGGGAAACCCCAUCCAGCAAUGCCGCGUGUGUGAAGAAGGCCUUCGGGUUGUAAAGCACUUUUAUUAGUGAAGAACGGUGCAUGGUUAAUACCCAUGCAAUUGACAUUAGCUAAGGAAAAAGCACCGGCCAAUUCCCCGUCAGCAGCCGCGGUAAUACGGAGGGUGCAAGCGUUAUUCGGAAUGACUGGGCGUAAAGCGCACGCAGGUGGUUUUAUAAGUCAGGUGUGAAAUCCCUGGGCUCAACUUUGGAAUAGCCUGUGAAACCUUAAGACUAGUGUAUGUCAGAGGAAGGCGGAAUUUCCAGUGUAGCAGUGAAAUGGGUAGAUAUUGGAAGGAACACCGAUGGCGAAGGCAGCCUUCUGGGGCAAUACUGACACUCAUGUGCGAAAGCGUGGGUAGCAAACAGGAUUAGAUACCCUCGUAGUUCACGCC
rnacentral:rRNA from 1 species